rnacentral:siRNA from 1 species
UAGAAUUGACGGUUUAGAUCGAU